AACGAACGCUGGCGGCAUGCCUAACACAUGCAAGUCGAACGAGAUCCUUCGGGGUCUAGUGGCGCACGGGUGCGUAACGCGUGGGAAUCUGCCCUUAGGUUCGGAAUAACAGUUAGAAAUGACUGCUAAUACCGGAUGAUGACGUUAAGUCCAAAGAUUUAUCGCCUGAGGAUGAGCCCGCGUAGGAUUAGCUAGUUGGUGUGGUAAAGGCGCACCAAGGCGACGAUCCUUAGCUGGUCUGAGAGGAUGAUCAGCCACACUGGGACUGAGACACGGCCCAGACUCCUACGGGAGGCAGCAGUGGGGAAUAUUGGACAAUGGGCGCAAGCCUGAUCCAGCAAUGCCGCGUGAGUGAUGAAGGCCUUAGGGUUGUAAAGCUCUUUUACCCGGAAUGAUAAUGACAGUACCGGGAGAAUAAGCCCCGGCUAACUCCGUG
rnacentral:rRNA from 1 species